AUACGUGGGGGCGAGCGUUGUCCGGAAUGAUUGGGCGUAAAGGGCGCGUAGGCGGCCCGGUAAGUCUGGAGUGAAAGUCCUGUUUUUAAGAUGGGAAUUGCUUUGGAUACUGUCGGGCUUGAGUGCAGGAGAGGUAAGUGGAAUUCCCAGUGUAGCGGUGAAAUGCGUAGAGAUUGGGAGGAACACCAGUGGCGAAGGCGACUUACUGGCCUGUAACUGACGCUCAGGCGCGAAAUUGUGGGUAGCAAACAGGAUUAGAUACCCUGGUAGUCCACACUGUAAACGAUGAAUGCUAGGUGUAGGGGGUAUCGACCCCUUCUGUGCCGCAGUCAACACAAUAAGCAUUCCGCCUGGGGAGUACGGCCGCAAGUUUGAAACUCAAAUGAAUUGACGGGG
rnacentral:rRNA from 1 species